GAUGAACGCUGGCGGCGUGCUUAACACAUGCAAGUCGAACGGAAAGGCUCCUGCUUGCAGUGGUACUCGAGUGGCGAACGGGUGAGUAACAUGUGGGUGAUCUGCCCUGCACUUCGGGAUAAGCCUGGGCAACUGGGUCUAAUACCUGCUAGGACGGUGGGUUGGAUGCGAUUGUGCGAAGUUGUGGGUUGCGGGAUGAGCUCGCGGGCUAUCAGCUUGUUGGUGGGGUAAUGGCCUACCAAGGCGCCGACGGGUAGUCGGCCGGAGAGGGUGUACGGCGACAUUGGGACUGAGAUACGGCGCAGUGUCGAACGGUAGGCAGCGGUGGGGAAUAUGGCACAAUGGGGGCAAGCCUGAUGAAGCGACGCCGCGUGGGUGAUGACGGCCUUCGGGUUGUAAACUCCUUUCGCUAGGGACGAAGCGCAAGUGACGGUACCUGGAGAAGAAGCACCGGCUAACUACGUG
rnacentral:rRNA from 1 species